rnacentral:rRNA from 1 species
AAGGGAGAGGAAUAAGUAGAAAUCUACCCUCGGAUCGGGGAUAGCGGCGGGAAACUGCCGGUAAUACCCGAUAACGUCUUUGGACCAAAGGUGUGAUUCCGUCUGAGGAUGAGUCUACUUCCUAUUAGCUAGUUGGCGGGGUAAUGGCCCACCAAGGCAACGAUGGGUAGCAGGUGUGAGAGCAUGACCUGCCUCAUUGGCACUGAGACACUGGCCAGACACCUACGGGUGGCUGCAGUCGAGAAUCUUCGGCAAUGGACGAAAGUCUGACCGAGCGACGCCGCGUGCGGGACGAAGGCCUUCGGGUUGUAAACCGCUGUCGUAGAGGAUCAAAGGUAAUUGGGUUCUCCCUUUUAUUUGAGUGAUUCUAGGAGGAAGGAGAGGCUAAGCUCGUGCCAGCAGCCGCGGUAAGACGAGCUCUCCAAACGUUAUUCGGUAUCACUGGGCUUAAAGAGUUCGUAGGCGGCUUUGUAGGUGGGGUGUGAAAGCCCUCGGCUUAACCGAGGAACUGCGCCCCAAACCACAAGGCUUGAGGGAUAUAGGGGUAAGCGGAACAGAUGGUGGAGCGGUGAAAUGCAUUGA